UUCUCUUCUUGCUGGAUCAGAAAUGUGCAUUUUCCCACGCAAUGCUCUCUCAAACCUGAUAUUAAAAAGGAAGGACAGAGAUGUUUUGCCUUUCAGCUAAUUUCAAAACUUCUCAAACAAGAAGGUAGAGUUUUCCCUACAGACUAACUUUUCAGAUCAACACUUUGAAGGAUAAAGAGGUUUUCUCUCUGCUGGGGACAGAAGAGCCUUGCAGGAAAAUUAUUUUAAGUUAUAUUUAAGUGCAUUCUUAUGCUAAUGGAUUUCAGGAACAGCAUCUCUAAUUUCCUGCUCUGGUAUAAUAUUCCUGAAAAUUCUGCAGCAAUUCUGAAUCCAUCCAGCUAUGGGAUGGGAGAAAGGAAGGGGAUUUGUGACUGCUGCUGUUAAUCAAAGAUAAGUUCCAACCACUACUGAGCAAAGGCAACUUCUACUAAUGUCAAAGCUGGAACAUGUUCUUCAUUAUGUAAAAUUCUUAAUAUCUGCAAGGAUCAAGUUCAGUUUGAAAGUCUAAAAGUGUAGCCUGGUGGGUGAUGUCCUGGAUGAAGAUACAUGAGACCUGAGAUCUAUUUCUGAUUCUGACACCAAUCCACCACCCAUCAAUCAAAUGUUCUUUACAUUCCCUGUCUGCAGAAUGACAUUUAAAAUCGUGCUUUAAACUCUUCAGUGCAGUAAGGUCAGGGAUCUUUUGGGUUUACAGAUAGUUGAAUGUCCCCCUAUUAUUGUAACAAACAAAAUUACAAUCAAGCCAAGAUAAAAACAAAUCAAUUGUAAAUUUAUCAGUGCUUCUAAAUUUAUCUAGACUCACUAGUAGCUAAUUUUUAAUCCAUCUCAGAAAGUAGCCCAAUACCUCCCUUACAUUUUCAUGACUGGUACAAGAUACAGAGAACUGUUUUUAAACCACAACUCUUUUCUGUGUGGCCCAUCCCAGGCUUUUAGCAGUUCAGUAGAGAAGCACAGUUAAUCCACUCUUUCCAUCAUGGUGUUCAGGAAAGUGAAAAUUAAAUAAAGGGACCAAGAGGUAUUUUGAGGACUCUAACAUAUUUUUUCACUCUUUCCCCUUAGGACACACAUUGGGAUUUAAAUAGAUAUGAUUUUUGAUGUUUUUUAAAGAGACUAAAAUGGAUAUCUGUGGAGUUAAUAAAAUAUCUCAUCCCUGAAGAGUGAUUACAUUUCUUUCACUCAUGAGAAAGUCCUUCAUAAUUCAUUUAUACCUGAGGGUCUGCUGAGUUUUGGGUCCUUCACACUUUUGAAAGACACGUAAU